CCUCGCGGGCGCCGCUCCGUGAGUUGGGCCACACGUGUUGACGUCUGUUUUGCUCGUGGGCGUAUUCGUGCACCCUUCGCAUCGCGCGGGAUGCGAGCAGACUCGCGUACCCGCGCAUCUCCCAAGGCCACUGCCCCCGUCCCCCCGACUCCCACUCCCACUCUUCCCUUUCGCAUACACGGCCCAGCACGGGCAGACGUGACGCGCGCAAUGCAUGCCACGCUUCUGCGCCGUGCGAUACGCACGGUGGUGCCACCCCCAAAGGCCUCGCCGCUGUCCCGGUUUCUUCGCGAAAGUACGGCGCAGAGCGUACUCGAUGCGGACGACUCUACGAAGAUGACGAGUGAGCCCCUGCCCAGCUUGCUGCCGAAGGGGUCCUCGACGGAGAGCCACACCUUGCUCUCAUCAGUGCCGGUGGGCGUGUUUGAAGGCCUGAAUCGACAUGUCUGGGUGGAUAGUAAGCGCAGCUUCUGCCACCUCUGUCAGGAGACAGUGGGUAACGUCACAGUCCACAGCAGCGACCGCGAUCAUACCAGCAUGCUGUUUUUCCUGCUGCUCUACACGGCAUACCCGAGACACGACUUGUUGACCGAAGCGGCGCGAGCCCCAACAGCAGGAGAGAGGGCAGCCGUUGUGGUGAAAGAUGGGACCUGCGCCUCGCAAUCGUCUCCGCCGGCCGAGCACAGCAGAGUCGUGGGUGUGCCUCGGCCGAUGUCCGCCUCGAGAAACAAGGUCGGCCCGCUGUUCACCCCUAAGCAUGUCCUCAGCGGGGCGAAACGGCACUUUCCAUCUCUCUUCCGCUACGUCACGGACUGUCGCACCACGGACCGCCUACACGUCGUCGACGAUGCCGUGCGCCGUGCCGAGCUAGAGGCGCUCUUGCUGUACCUCGCGCACCCACCGCACCAGGCGCUCUCGCACGUUCUGCAAGGGCAAAGCCCGAACGGCUUCUGGUACAACGGCGAGCGCAUGUGGAAGGCGCACAUCAGCCGCAUCGUCGCACAACUGUACCCACCCAUGUCGGCUGGCAUGAUGACCAACUUCACCCAGAAGUGCUGGGGCCGCACUAACGGGGAACGGCUGUACGACGCACUCUGCCUGCACCGCAUAAAGGCCUACCACGGCUGGGGUCCCUUCGAGAGCAAGGAGCGCAAGGCCUUCUUUCUAAGGCAUCUAAUCUGGGAGCUGCUCUGUGUCGAGGUCCGCGACGAGGUGUCGGAGGAGGCGAAACUGUUGACGUCGCUGGCUCUUCGGCGGCUUGCGUUUGAGAUGGUGUUCUUGCAGUCAAUGGACUACAUGGAUCGAGUGCAGCGUGUGCACGAGCUGCUGGGCAGCCCCUCACUAGAGGAGCUCAAAAGUCUUAACGCGCUCUGACGUACACAUCCCGCAUGCACACACGCGCCACCGGAAAGCCUCGCGCUUCCGUGUGAUGGGGAAUGCUGCACAUGGCUCUGUCGUCGUCUUGGCCGUGCCGCGGGAUGAAGGAUGGGAGGGUGAGCGAGCGAGCGACGCCGGCGCAGGCGAGGUCAGCGUAUGGCUGUUUUGCAAGCUGCAGUGAGUGUAGGCACGACCCCGCCCGCAACUCCUUCCCAACACCAUCCUGUGGCCCCCCUCCCCUCCCCUCCCCUCCCGCUUGCCGUCAUCUGUACUCUGUUACCGCGCCGUCGCUCGUGUUUGGUGCACCGUUAUCACUCUGUGUGCACUUCGUUACAGACUUACGCCCCUCCUCCCCCUCCUGCGAUGCCGAUGUGCCUGCGCCGUAGUGCGAUGCAAGCGUAUCGUUGAAACGAAGAGGGGAUUCAAUCGGGCCUAUGUUAGUGACCGCUGGCGAGGGUGUGGGCGCCUUGUGGCACCGAGCCGCCGACUGCCCCAGAGGAAG
rnacentral:misc_RNA from 1 species